GAAUGCUGACAUAAGUAACGAUAAAGCGGGUGAAAAGCCCGCUCGCCGGAAGACCAAGGGUUCCUGUCCAACGUUAAUCGGGGCAGGGUGAGUCGACCCCUAAGGCGAGGCCGAAAGGCGUAGUCGAUGGGAAACGGGUUAAUAUUCCCGUACUUGGUGUUACUGCGAAGGGGGGACGGAGAAGGCUAUGUUGGCCGGGCGACGGUUGUCCCGGUUUAAGCGUGUAGGUGUGUGUUCCAGGUAAAUCCGGUUCACUUUAACACUGAGGCGUGACG
rnacentral:rRNA from 1 species